UAUGCGUGUUCAAUUUUUCUGGAUUGAGGUUGAAUAUUUAUUUACUAUGUUGAGUGGAUCUAAAAAACUUACCUAAUAAUAUUAGAAGAUUUAGCACAAAAAUGUGACUCUUAUCCAUAUCUUUUUUAUCAAAAUAAAAUAGAACAUCUCUUUUCCUUAAUGUAAAUGGGCAGAAAGGAAGCCCAGUAUCUCCCACUUCAAAGUUGACUUGAGGAUUUAUUUUGAAACUCUUCAAGGUCUUUCAAAUCAGAAAGCAACCAGAACUAUGGAUACGCUCGAAACGGUGGAAAUCACCCCGCCCACCAGAGCAACUGUUGCGUAGCAGCCAGCCACUCAUAUUUACGCACGCCGUGCCGUGGAGGUGAAAUUCAAACUGCUGUUUUGCUACAUGCUGAAUUGCUGUCUCGCUGUAUUGGUUUUUGUCUUCUGGAAUUUUACUACAUCAAGUUGAAGAUUUAAGAUCAUUAACUUCCCUGGAAAGUGAUCUUCGAUCCUGUCCGGAAACGAGACGAGAAGUGGUAGGUAACACUAACGGUUAUGCGCAGUUCCCUAAUGCCUUCCGUUAUCACUUACAGAUCUGUUUCUAAUUACUGUUCUAAUUAAAUUGGGUGUGAUCAAUCUAAAGCAAACUGAUCUAAAGAGUAAAGACUAAAAGCGUGCUGCAUCACAGUGUGGUUCAGCAGCUGCACAGAAGAGAAUAAAAAAGACCUGCAGCGGGUGGUAAGGGUGGCAGAGCGCAUCACUGGCACAACACUACCUUCCCUCAAAGACAUUUACACUGGCCAUCUCGGGAAGAAAGCCAGUUGUAUCAUAAUGGACCCCACUCACCCUGGACAUCACCGGUUUUCCCCUCUGCCCUCUGGGAAAAGAGACAGAACAAUCAAAACGAGGACUAACAGAUUAAAGAACAGUUUCUUCCCACAGGCAGUCAAAUGCACAAAUCCUCCUCCUUCCCUCCUUCUGCUCCCAAGCAUUAUCCAACAAUAAACCAAUGUCUCAGGUCUACGAGUGCAGUAAUACACACACACACACACACACACACACACACACACACACACACACUGCAUAUUUGCACUAAAGUACUGGAACUUGGAUUGCUGGGUGGCGUGGAUCUGAAGAACACUGUCUGGAGAAUAAUGAAGCAGGCAAUUAAAAAUGACUUUGCUAAAACCAUCAGCUGGAGAGGUGUAAAUGGAAAAAACACCAUUCCAAAGUUUGGAGCUUAAGUGUUGUGAUUGAGGCUGUAAGAAGAAAUCCAGUUUGUGCCCAAAUGACUGAGCUGGAGGUUGGGCAAGUUAUUAGAAGGUGGUUUUAUUUGGCUGGGGAUCGUGAGGGUGGCAGAAAAAGAAGAACACCACUGCAAAAUGUUCCUGUAAAUAAGUAAUUUUCUGUUAUUGUGUAAUUUAUGCUUUUGCACACGUGUAAAAAUAUAUAUUUGUUUUUCUAACCAUUUUUUGUUUGUUGGUUUCACUUGAUUUAUGCACAUUUACUUUAAUUUGCAUUAUUGCUUUGCUGUUUAACAUUUAUAUUUUAUUGCUAAGAUUUUAAUUACUGUUAUACUUCUAUUAUAUUGUGACUGUUGCUUUUAUUUUGUCUUGAUCUACGGCUGUCUUGAUCAACUUGUUUACAUUUUUUCACAUCUGUAAAUAUAUUUAAUUUGUCUUUUAUAACCAGCUUUUGUUUGUUGGUUUCACUUACUUUAUUUGCGCACAUUUAGUUGUUUAUGUGCAUUAUUGGUUUACUUAACAUUUCUACUUCCUGCUUAGUUUUUAA